rnacentral:rRNA from 1 species
CCUACGGGUGGCAGCAGUGAGGAAUAUUGGUCAAUGGGCUUACGCCUGAACCAGCCAAGUCGCGUGAGGGAAGACGGCCCUAUGGGUUGUAAACCUCUUUUGUCAGGGAGCAAGUGGCGCUACGUGUAGCGUUAUCGAGAGUACCUGAAGAAAAAGCAGCGGCGAACUCCGUGCCAGCAGCCGCGGUGAUACGGAGGAUGCGAGCGUUAGCCGGAUUUAUUGGGUUUAAAGGGUGCGUAGGCGGAAUGCCAAGUCAGCGGUAAAAUCGCGGGGCUCACCCUCGCUCCGCCGUUGAAACUGGCGUUCUUGAGUGGGCGAGCAGUAUGCGGCCUGCGUGGUGUAGCGGUGCACUGCAUAGAUAUCACGC